GCCCCGGUAGCUCAGCAGGAUAGAGCAUCAGAUUCCUAAUCUGAGGGUCAGAGGUUCGAAUCCUCUUCGGGGCACCA
rnacentral:tRNA from 1 species